rnacentral:rRNA from 1 species
UAGGGAAUCUUCGGCAAUGGACGGAAGUCUGACCGAGCAACGCCGCGUGAGUGAAGAAGGUUUUCGGAUCGUAAAGCUCUGUUGUAAGAGAAGAACGAGUGUGAGAGUGGAAAGUUCACACUGUGACGGUAUCUUACCAGAAAGGGACGGCUAACUACGUGCCAGCAGCCGCGGUAAUACGUAGGUCCCGAGCGUUGUCCGGAUUUAUUGGGCGUAAAGCGAGCGCAGGCGGUUAGAUAAGUCUGAAGUUAAAGGCUGUGGCUUAACCAUAGUAGGCUUUGGAAACUGUUUAACUUGAGUGCAAGAGGGGAGAGUGGAAUUCCAUGUGUAGCGGUGAAAUGCGUAGAUAUAUGGAGGAACACCGGUGGCGAAAGCGGCUCUCUGGCUUGUAACUGACGCUGAGGCUCGAAAGCGUGGGGAGCAAACAGGAUUAGAUACCCUGGUAGUCCACGCUGCAAACGAUGAGUGCUAGGUGUUAGACCCUUUCCGGGGUUUAGUGCCGUAGCUAACGCAUUAAGCACUCCGCCUGGGGAGUACGACCGCAAGGUUG